rnacentral:lncRNA from 1 species
GAAAGAAAAAUUCUCCUUUCCCUCGAUUUUUCCGUCCGUUUUCUCAAGGAGAAAUCUGCUGUAGUAUUUACUUACCCUGUAUUCCCCUGUUUUAUUUAGCUGAAAUUGUAUUACACCAGUUUUAUAUGAAUGAAACCUGGGCAUUAUAAAUUUUUUCCUUGUUUCAUACGUUUGAAACCAGUACAAUUUUAAUCAAAACCAUAAUCUUAGAAAACAAAAUUCAAUUCCUACCACUCCCAUCAAUAUGCUGAUUACUGAACGGAUGGAUAAAAUACCCAAGUUAUUGGCACCUGUGUAGAGGCUUGAGAUCUGGUAAAAACUCCAGAGCUUUGCAUUGAAUUUGAAAGUAUCGCUUCUUGUACUUUCCUUUUUCUUCUCCUCCUUCAUUUCAACAUAUUUUUUCUGUAGGAUAUACUUGUGCUGUUUUCCACAAAAGAAUGUAAGAAAAAAAAUUUCGUUUGAAAUCUGUGUGGUUUCUAUUUUUUUUUUUCCAGUCCCUAGUGCGGGGUAAAGAUUGUGUGGCUUUUUCUAAGAUAGGUGGUAGUGGUACCUGAAUGGUGAGCAAUUAAAUCGGUAGCUUUUAUCCUGAAUUUAUAUUGGACCAAGUGAAUAUACAUUCGGCACAUAAAAGAGGGAUUGAUGAUUUCAUGACUUUCUUAUUCACAAAUGUUUUUCAGAUAUUUUGACCAAAUCUUGUGUCUGGAUAAAAACUUGUACAAACGUUGGUACCAUGCACAGAUGUACAUGUAAAUAUGUAUACUCAGCAUUUGAAUUUUUUUAUAAUUUUCAUAUGAAUUAUAUCUUCUUGUCAAAUAUAAGUAGCACACCACAUGCACGUUGUAUGCACACGAUAUGCACACUACAUAUUUGCAAUGUCCACCACUUCAUGAUGGAAAACAAGAACAUAAACCGGAAAACUGAAAAUGUCAUAAAUAAAUAAACCCAUCUGCAAUAACAGAGAGGCAAUCUCAAAUGAAAAACUAGCAUAAACCACAUCAAGACAAGAAAAAAGUCAAUUUGAAAUUUACCAUAUCACUAUCUGACAAUUACAUCUGUCUCUUUAUAUUCUGCAGCAUUGAUGUGCAAAAUUAUAUCCAUCGAUAUCUUAAAAAUUAAAAUUACAUCAAUUAUGAGUUGUGCACUUAAAAGACAAAUCUGGGCAUGUUCAUAAUGUUUAACAGUGCACAGUUAAAGUUCAUCAUCUGUUGCAUCUCUCGAGAGAAUUUGCAAAAGGACAAACCAAACUAUGGGAAGAACGUUCAGAUAGAGGACCAUACCGUGUGCAUCAACUCCAGAAGCAGAGACAGUGCACCGUUGUUUGGUUUACCACUCCAGAAGCAGAGGCGGUUGAAAUUCUUUGAGUCGUAACACAACUUGCUUCACUGUAGGCCAAGCAGAAUAUGAUUCAAGGGUACAAAUGUAAGUGUUAUGCCCUAGAUCCAAUUGAUUUAGGUUGUAAACGCUUUUAAUAUAUUUAAUGCAUUUGAUUUUGGCGAGAUCUAUUAUUUAUUUAAAUUAAUUUUGUAAUAAAUAAUAUUAAAUAAUAGAGUCCGAAGACCCAAUUUUUAGGUAAUCUGUUAAUCACAAGGAGUUGUGAUUGUGAGAUACAAAUUACAUAUAAUUGGAUCUUGAAUAAACCAUGGUCGUAAGUAAUAACGAGAUACGGAUAUCGUUAAUACAGUUAGACCAUCACGUGUGGCAUUUCUUACUUAUGAAGUAAGUAGCUGAUCUCACGAGCUAAAGUGUGGUGACACUUAAAUGAACAUGUGGAUGUUUUGUUGUAGAACAAAACAUUGAACACCCGCUAAGAGAUUCCACAUGGAUAACUAUCUGAGUGUCAGUGGCUAAUCUCUAACGUUCGGUAGUGGGAUUGAUCCUUUGACUUGAGGUCGUCAUAGUACCCUAUAUGAGGACAGUCAUACUUUGGCGGUGUUGGAUAUUGCUCCGAAAGGGGCCGCUAAUACGACAUCGUUCGGGUACGUCAAGAAUCGUAUGAAGGUUGUGACUGAUCAAUAAAGGAUUCGUUACUCUUAGAUAGUAGGAGAUGAUCUGCGUUUCAUUCAAUUAAGUCGAUGAUGAAAUCCUUGGCCAAGGUGUACUCAUAAGUCGAAAAGGAGUUUUCGAUUUAUAUUGACUUAUUAGUGGAAUGAAAGAUAUGAUCGAUGAUCGAGAUUGACACAAUUCCAUAUCUCGUAAUUGAUCGGAUCGUAUUGACGAAGGGAUAAUAGUUCCAUGAUAAACGAACGAUUUUGGUUUUGUCAUACCACGUGACAUUUCCCGUCACAUGUAUUGCCCUGACACAUUGCUAAAUGUCAAUCAAGGACGGCGAAUGUGAAUUGACGAUAAAUUAAAAGGGUGUAUUAAUUUAUCGAUUUUGAUUAGAUCAAAAUAAUAUUUCACGACGUUAGGCAUCGUGGUCGGGAACCUAAUGGGUCGCACACAAAAGAGAAUUGGAAGAGUGCAAAUUGUUAAUUGAUUAAUUUAACAAUCGUUGGAUAAAUUAAUUAAUUGAAUUUCUUAUUUAUAAUCCCAAAUUAAUUAAUUGGAUUAAUUAAUUCACAGACCGGGUUUGAUUAAUUGGAUUAAUUAAAUAUUGGACCCGACCGGGCCGGGUCCGUUUGGGUUUAUAUAUAUAUGCAGCUAGGGUUUGAGGUCCAUUAAGUUAUUCAUUGUUCUUGCUAGCACAAGAAAGAAAUCCUAGCAGUUGCUGUUUUCUCUCUGUGUGGAUUUCAUUGGAGGCUGCACAAUUGGACAGCUGUGGGAGGCAGAUUCAAGCUGCUGGAAAGGAAUAACGCGAAAGAGUUUGCAAAUCACACAAAAGGUAUAUUUCUCAUCACAGUUUUUAUCUAAAUACAAAGCUGAAUCCUGAAUGGGAAUUGAAAUUUGUUAAAUUCCGCUGUGCAUGUUUAAAUCAAUUCCCAACAACAAAGAAUAGCCACAUGCUGCAUUUUCACGAGGUCAUCCUGUAAGCUCAACUCUGAUAGAAUCAAGAAGAAAAAAAUCCUCGGCCUGACCUCGUUUGAGUAAUGAGUAAGCCCAUGAAACAAUCUUGAAUCCAUCUUCCUGUAAACAAAAUGAAGGGUCAGGAGCUUUGUUGUUGGACAAUAACUCAAACAGCACAACACCAUAGAUGUAAACAUCAGCCUUAUUGGAUACAACACUUGUCUGCGCGUACUCUGGAGUUUUGUAUUCGCAAGUUCUGGCUACACGAGUAGUAGCAUGAGUUUGGGUAGUCUACAUAAUUCUGAGAAUCCAAAGUCUGACAAUAAGCAUUAUAGUCGUCCAAUAAAAUAUUACUGGGCUUGAUUUCUUGAUGUAAAACAUGUGGAUUGCACUGGUCGUGCAGAUAAGAUUAUGCUUAGGCAAUAUAGAGGGCAUUCUUGUGAACUAUUCUCGAAUCGAAAGAUCUUUUGUCUAUAAGAGGAAAAUUUCCACUCGAAUGGCAUAGUACCCUAUCAAUGUAAUGAGGCUUGGGUGUUUGAUUCUUCCGAGGGUCCAGACCUCAGCAUGGAACUGAGGGAUGCCUCAUGGGUAGCCAAAUGUCAAUAAUUUUAGAUAAAUAUGUUGGAUAUUGGUUAAAUAAAUCGAGAAUUGAAAAUCGAUUAAAGUGACUUCGUAUCGACUUCGACCAAAUACUCAAAAGCUCGACUCAAUCCGUUUAGGCAAAAUUGUUUGCCACUUCGCCGCUUCGGGGCGCACAAACGGGGAUCGACCUCGGCCAAAUACUCAAAAGAGAAUUUUGAUUUCUUUGCAUGUAUUGAAGGGUAUAUUUGGCAUUUCGAAAACCAAUAUCGGAUGAAUGAGAAAUUACGGAAAAGAACGAAAAUCAGGUCAAAAUAUUUGACCGUGCGACCGCAUGGUUGGUAAACUGCGCGAUCACACGUCAAAUUCAAUUCCGAUUUUUUGAGUAAAACCGUGCGACCGCACGGUCUAUAACCGUGCGGCCGCACGGUUGUCCGGUGAAUAGACACCUUGUCAUAAAGGUGCAUUGUUUGGAAAGGGUGCAUGGUUUGGCCUCAACCAUUCCGUCCACACUCUUUCAUGGUCUAUAAAUAGGACCCUUUGGGUGUCCUAUUCCUCACAGUUUGAUAUGCAAAACAUCUCUCAUCCUCUCUUCUAUCCAAAAUAAAAAUCAUUUCAUUUAUUUUGAUUUUCCUUCAUUUCAUCCUUGGAGUACAUAAGCCUAAAUUUGGUUCGUUGUACUUGUGUUUUGGAGUGCUACAAACACAAGUGUAGCCGUUAUAUCUUGGGAGUCGAUUGCCGAAAUCCGUAGGCACCGUUGCGGGGCAAAUUCGACUUAAGGACAAAGAGUCCAACUCUUGCCUCGACUUUGUCCCUACUUUCUUCUUCUUCUUCUUAUUUAUGUUUUCUUUGUCGUUACUCUGUCCAAUUUUCGGCACGAAUUUACAAACCAUCAUUAUACUUAUUUUGGCGUCACUAUUCACAAAAUUCCUCCAAUAAAAUACAUAUAGAAAUUCAUAAGAUAUCAAUAUAUAGGUGGGAUAAGUUGAGUAUUACCGGAAAACCAGAUCUUGAUUCAAAGUAUCCAUCAUAAGGGCAGGUUAGACUACCAUUUGUUAUGUAUGAGGGAAAGUAUUGACAUCAAUUAUGCACUCACCAAUAAAAUUCAUAUUAUCUCAGUCCCACAGAUCAAUGCAAAAUGCAUUAAAUGUGUUUCAAGCAGCUGUACCGGACAGCAGGGACGGAGUUAGGAAUAUUGUCCAGUAUGGGCAAAUUUCUAAGUAUCAGACAGCAUUUUUAUUUAUUUAUUUUUUUUUUUUUGCCAAAAUUAGUCCAUGAAUGAAAAGAACUUCACGUGAUCUUGAGAAUUCUUGAUGCAUAAGGAAACAUAAGAUUUUAAACAACUGCAAUAAGGUUUUUAAAUCACAAAACUACAAUGAUUUUGAUUCAAUAUUCAUAUUAAGAUGGAGACGAAUUCCCCAAAAAAAUUUAAAGGUUUGAGAUCAGGGAUGAAAUGGGGAAAGAUAAUUUGUGAUUUAAUCUGGAUAUGGGCUCUGAAUGUAGAGGUGUGAGGAUUUGAACGGAGUGUACACCCAGAUCAUUUAAAAUUAAAAGGGUAUUUUGUUCCAGCCAAUGUAUUAUUUUCUUCCAAUUUAACAUAAAUGUAUAAGAGUAAUUAUAUUACCACUACAAACUUUAUUAAGUACACUACAUUUUUCUUAUUUGCUAAAAUAUCCUUAAGUAGAAUUACAUAAUUAGGGUUUGAUAUACUUUUUAAUUAAAAAAAAUUAUUGUUACUCCAGGAAUAUAAAACCUAAUUUCUUUCUUUUUCCUUAACAUCUCAUUGCUCAUAGUUUUUCCAGAAACACGUGCCUUCUUCCACGAUGGCAAGGUAUUUUUCUUUUCCUCACAGUAAAUAAAUUUAUACUCUGUUUGACCACAAUUUACAGAUGAAUUUUUUCAAUUUAUUUAUCAUGUUUAAAAAUUAAGAAUCUGAUUUUUUUUUUAAGUCAAACAAAUUUAUUAUGAAUUUAAAACAAGUAUGUAAAAUUAUGAUUUUUAAUUGUUAAAUGGGUUUAUGAAUUUUAUGCAUAUAUACUCAUCAUUUCAUGAACUGCAUGCAUUUAGGGCCUGAGACUUACCCAGGGGACGUAUUCAUAUGUACUAUACCAUUACCAUAAAUUUGAAUGCAUAUAGGUAAAUGAAUUUGUGUAUAUGUAGGUCUGUGAGUUUCCGUGGAUUUUUGUGUAUGUAGGUCUAUCAAUUUUCGUGAAUUUGUGAAAAUAUGGGUAUAUGAAUUUCCAUGCAUGCAUUAUCUUUUGUCAACAUUAUUGUUGAGUAGAAUUGUAUUCUAACUAAAUUAUGAUAUUUAGUUUAAUGCAAAUGGAUGUAGCUAUUGACACUACGACUUCAUCUGAAUUCUCGAGAGUUUUUAAUCAACAAGAAGUAAGUUUUUCUUGUUAUGUUGUAUUUUUUUGCUUGAACAUAAUAAAUUUAAUUUUUUAUAAGUUAUCAUAAUUUAAUUUUAUUUGUCCUAAAUGUCAAGAAAAUGAUGACGACUUCAAUAUAUAAGAUUAUACACAAUACUUUUGACCGAGUAUAAAUAAAUCAAUUAUUAAAUUUAUGUCUAUUAAUUCAACUCUUGGUGCAAUUUUUUUAAUUAUAAUUUUUUAAUAUUGAUUGUGUAGGUAUUCAAUAGUCGAGAGUCGUUAUGUAAUUAAGUUUGUAUGGUUGGGAAGGAACUUGGUCUAGUUAUUGUUAUAAUACAUUCUGAGGUUGGUGGUUAUGGAUGCAAGCCUUGUAUACGCUAUGGGUGUGAGCAUCGUGGAAAUAUAGAAAACAUAAAGAUCAUUCCGGUCAUGAAUAAGCGAAAGAGGUUUGUUGGAACACAUAAGUGUGAAUGCUCAUUUGAUCUAAAUGGUGUGAAGUUGUCGAUUGAGGACGCUUGGAUUUUAAAGGUAUUAUGUGGACCAUAUAAUCAUCUAGCGGCAAAAUAUUUAAGACAUCCUUAUGUACAAAGAUUAAUUAAUAAAGAGGAGUGAUAUUUUAAUCGAUAUGUCAACAAGUUUGAUAAAACCUAAGAACAUAUUAAUGACUUUGAAAGAACGGGAUCCAAAUAAUGUUAGCACAAUGAGGACUAUUAAUUACAAUGCAUGUGCAAGGCAUAGAUUGAUUGAAAAUGGGAAGUGGGGGGGGGAACAUAAAUGCAACAUGAAAUGAGCAAGUUAAAAGAACACAAUUAUAUCAAGUGGCAUAGGUCUCAUGAAGAAUGGAUGAAGUUAGAGACCUUUUCUUUGCACUUUCGAUAUUUGUUGAUUUCUUACAUGCAUUUUCAUGUAUGCUUAUAAUGGAUUAUACCCCUCUUUUUGAGAUCAUUGGGGUUCCUUCGCACAAAUGACAUUUUUUUUUUUUGUUUUCGUGUUCAUGGAAGCUGAACAAUAAGAAAAUUAUAGUUAGGUAAUGGAAAAGUUGAAAACCUUAAUGAAUUAUGAUGUCUUGCCACAUGUGAUUGUCACAGAUAGGGAACUGGCUCUUAUUCCUGCAACUGAAAAGAUUUUACCUAACGCCAUAAAUCUACUAUACACAUGGCACAUAUCGAAAAAUGUAUUGGCCAAUACCAAGAAGUUUUUUGAGUGAAAAGAAGUAUGGGAUACUUUCCGUAGGAUUUGGAGCGUACUUGUUGCAUCUACUAUGGAGGAUGUAUAUGAACAAUUGGCCAAAACUCUAUCUUUCCGAUUUGAACAUUUUUUUAUGGCAUUAGAUUAUGUUAUGGGACCUUGGUUGUGUAAAUAUAAAGAGAAAUUAAUUGCUACUUGGAUGAAUAAAAUUAUGCACUUUGGUAAUGUCACAACUAACUAGUAAAAUGUGUAACGCUUAUAUUUAAUUUUAUUAUCAACAUUAUUUAUUUUUUAAUAGGCAAACAAAUUAUUGUCGAUUUAUCUAUUUAUUUAUAUUAUUCACAGGGUUGAAAGUGCACAUUCUAAGUUGAAGAAGAACCUUGGAUCAUCACAAGGCGAUUUUGAAACUUUACGAAAAGUUGUGCAUCACCUAUUGGAAUUGCAAUCCAGUGAAAUAAAAGCUUCAUUUGAAUGAAGCAUGAAUUUAGUUCAACAUAACUUCAAACGUAGCCUUUAGGAGUUGGGUGGUUUCGUGUCCAACAAUGCAAUGGAUCUUACAUCAUGACAGUCAAAUCAAGCAUAACAUAUUGGUUUGGACAAAAAUGUUUGUCAAUGCACUCUUAGAUCCAUACAUGGUUUGCCAUGUUCGUGUGAGAUUUCAGAAUACAUAAUUACAAGUCAUCCCAUUCCUCUGUCAAUUGUUCACCCUCGUUGGAGAAAAUUAGAUAUUUUGGUUCCAUUAAAUGAUACAUAUUCCAAGUUGAACAUUUUAGUUGAAUUAGGGAACAUUCAAAGAUUUUUUAGCAAAUGCGACGAUGCAGGUAAAGUACUUCUUAAAAUGAAAUUACAAGAAAUGUAUGAACCCUCCACUACUUCUUUGAAAUAGCCUGCUGGGAAAGUUAAAACCAAGGGCUGACAUUCAUCAAUAGUUGAUACUUCAACAAAAAGAGGUCCUCUGUAUUUUGCAGUUGUUGACUCAAAUAACGAUAGCCAUUUUGCAAAAACAACAACUCUAUCAAAGUUCCAAAGAAGGAUAACCUUAAAGUAAGGCGCACACAUAUGAAUACUUUAUACCAUUAUAUAAUUUGUUUUCAUGACAAAGUCAAAGAUUGCACAUUUAACAUUGUUGAUGUUAAGUCCAAUGGUCAUUGUGGUUUUAGGGCAAUAACUAGUUCCUUGGAUUAGGAGAGGAGGCAUGGUUACAUAUUCGACGAGACCUUAUUACUGAAAUGAAAUCUAAUUAUGAUGCAUAUGUAAAACUAUAUGGCAGCAUUAAAAGGGUGAAGGAGUUGUUAUAUAGUAUGGAUUACUUUAAUAUUGGUGCCCCGUUUGAUUGAUGGAUGACGAUGCCUGACAUGGGCCAUUUGUAGCAUCUCAGUAUGGUAUCAUAUUUGUCCUUCUAUCUUUUAUACAAUAUUUGACAUUCCUACCAUUGCACAUUCAAUCUCCUCUACCAUUAAAUCAUAAAAUUAUAUCAUCGGGUUUUGUGAAUGACAAUCACUUUGUUCAGGUACUUUGUUUUAAUUAAUUGACUAUAUAUCAUUAGUAUAAACUUAUUGUUACUAAUUUGAUUUAUCACUUGUACAGGUCAAGUUAAAGCCCAAUUGUCAAAUUCCACCUGAGGCAUAUAAUUGGUAUAAAUAUAGAGACGACAUUGCAAGUGGAUGGGAGAGUACGUAUAAAUUAGAAUACAAAUUCAAAGAGAUGAUUGGUAUUGGUAUUGAUAUCACAUAAGAGGUCAAAAGAGGAUUUUGAUGAACUUCUUGCACUGCUAGAGACUUAUUCAAUUUGAUUAUUUCCUUCUUUCUUGUAAUGAAAAUUUCGCAACAUGUCCAAUAUAUCAAAAAUAUGUCAUAAAUGCUUCCUCAAGUUGGGUUUUGAAUGUUUCUGAUGAAUUAAAGGUGGAAGGUGAGAGGGAAAGGGUGGUUCAACAUUUUCACUGUGAAAUUAUUCUUGGUUGAAAAUCUGAUCUUGUAUUUAUUCUUGGUUGAAUAUCAUUUUAUUACUCUG